AAUAAUAAAAUUAAAAUAAAUAUUUUAAUUUAUUUUUUAUAUAAUUUUUUCUUUUUCUUUCUUUUAAUAAUUAUUUUUAUUUUUAAAAUUAAUUCCAAAUAAUAAAAUAAUAUUAAAACUUUUUAAUAACUAAACAUUAAAAAAAACAAUCUCUUUUCCUUUAUUAAUGGAAAUAUUAAAUAUUAUACUCUGAGUCACCGAGAAAUGAAUAAGAAACCGAGAAGCGGGAACGAAAAAGUAGAAGAAGAAAAAACCCUAGAAAGCCCAGCUUUAAUGGAAACAAUGAUAGGGAAAUCUGUUUCGUUGCCCGACUUGGAAGUUUCUGGCGGUGGCUGUUGUUUAGAAAUAACUAUUCUGGCUAUAAAUUUUCCUUCCGAGUAAUCCUUCCCCUUCUUCAGAGAAUUACUCUGCCCAUUCGUGUAAUCGUCGCGGGGAGGAAGUCUCAUGGAAUCCGGAGCAUCUUACGGCGGCGUAGGUGAAUGACAGGGACUACAGUUUGGAUCCGUGUUCUUCUUUCUCUGUUUCUGUUUCUUCUUUUUCUUUUUCUUUAUCUUGAGCUUCUUGACAGAGAAGGCUAGAAGAGGGAGAAAAUGUAGGGGGAGAAUCAGAAUCCACCAUUGCUUGACUUGGCUUGUGUUAUUUCUUUUCUCUCUCUACAUCUAAACAAGAAAAUCUAGGAUAUGUAUUGGUGGGUUAGAUCCAGUAACGAUUUUGGUGGCGCCAAAUUUAGUGGGGAUGUGAUAUGGUCUGUUUUUCUACAAACUUACCUCUCUCUUUUUUUUCUUUCUUUUUUUUACUUUCUUAAAGGUUACAUACAAAUAUAAAUGUAUAUAUAUUUGUGGGUAUAAUCUUAAUAGAUGGAGAGAAUGUAUAGGGAGGAGAGAGAAG
rnacentral:lncRNA from 1 species